rnacentral:rRNA from 1 species
UACGUAGGGGGCGAGCGUUGUCCGGAUUUAUUGGGCGUAAAGCGCCCGCAGGCGGUGCGCCAAGUGUGGGGUGACAGCGACCGGCUUAACCGGUCGAGUGUCCUACAGACUGGCGCACUUGAGGGCCACAGAGGAACACAGAAUUCCGGGUGGAGUGGUGAAAUGCGUAGAUAUCCGGAGGUAUACCAAAGGCGAAGGCAGUGUUCUGGGUGGUACCUGACGCUCAGGGGCGAAAGCUAGGGGAGCGAACGGG